ACAAUGUUAUCUAUCGGUUCUGCUGACGGCGCUAUACCAAAACAUGAAAUGUCAUCGCCUACAAUUGGAAAUAAUACUAGAAGCAUCAAUAAAUGGAUUCGAAGACCACAAAAGCAAAAAAAUAAAAAUAAAAAAAAAUAAAAAAUGCCAAAUAAAGCAAAUUACAUGACUGAGACAUUUAAUCUCCACAGUAAUACGUGGAUGAUAGCAGUAAGUAAUAGUAUUAGAAAGCAAAAGAAAACGACUCAUCAUUUCACCAGUGCAUCUAACAUAGAUGGUAUUAAGGAUCAAAUUUAUUCAGAACAAUUCCUGAAUAUUUUGUAUACUCGUUUAAAUGAAAUGCACAGCGUAGGAAAAAAAACCAUAUCUUGCCGAUUGUGUAAAUCCCAAAAACUUGAGGAUUGAAAUCGUUGCUGUGUUUGAGCAAUUGUAAACCAUAUUGGUAUAAUAACAUG